rnacentral:rRNA from 1 species
UACGGGGGGGGCAAGCGUUGUUCGGAAUUACUGGGCGUAAAGGGCUCGUAGGUGGCCAACUAAGUCAUACGUGAAAUCCCUCAGCUUAACUGGGGAACUGCGUCUGAUACUGGAUGGCUUGAGUUUGGGAGAGGGAUGCGGAAUUCCAGGUGUAGCGGUGAAAUGCGUAGAUAUCUGGAGGAACACCUGCGGUGUAGACGGCUUACUGGACCGCCACUGACGCUGAGGCACGAAAGCGUGGGUAGCAAACAGG